CCCCGAAACUUUCUCUUCUCUUUCAAAAAAUUUUACCCUCUCUAAACUCAUCUUCCAAAAAAUUCCCACCACCCCACCAACACCGGCGUUCUCCAAGUAGGCGACGCCGUCCAAUUAACCCACCGGAGUAUCCACCAGCCGCCGCCGACUGAACAGUGAGUUGGUUGAAUAUAUUGUGAAAAAAAAAUAUGGGUGAAGGAAGGGACAGUCAGCCACCAGCCGCCGCCUACUGAACAGUGAGCUAGGUCCUGCAUUGCUAGUUGAUGUUCCGAGAGACAAGAACUUAACUGGAAUUGAUUACUUAUCGGUUGCUGCAUUGAUGAUUUGCUUCCUUCCCAUCAUGUUUUCCUGAAAAGCAGGGAAAUUAUUCUUGUAGAAGGGCUGAAGCUGGAUGAUAUAGAAGCUAGCAUAUACACCGUACACUGUCUGCCCUUAAGGUUGCUUGGUGCGGAGGGAUCGCCUAUUAAAUGUAUACUGAUUAAGUAAUACUGUCCUCGUCUCCGCCUCAACCAUAAGGAAGCACUGGAGAUAGCGUUGAAUAAGAGAAAGUGCUGCAAGGGAGGACAUAUUCUCAGAGUAGUUUAGGCUGUAAUAUUAUUAGCUUUUAGGCUGAAAACACAUAGCAUGAGCAAAUAAUAUGUAGAUUUCAUGGUAUGUCUUACGGUUUUAUGGAUUGACGGAGAAUGAUCAACAUAUUUAGAUCAGAGUUAUUUUUGUCUUAAGGUGCAAAUGAUUACGGUCAUCAUAUUGCUUUCUA